UACGUAGGGUGCAAGCGUUAAUCGGAAUUACUGGGCGUAAAGCGUGCGCAGGCGGUUUUGCCAGUAUGAUGUGGAAGCCCCGGGCUUAACCUGGGAACGGCAUUGGAGACUGCAAGGCUAGAGUGCGUCAGAGGGGGGUAGAAUUCCACGUGUAGCAGUGAAAUGCGUAGAGAUGUGGAGGAAUACCGAUGGCGAAGGCAGCCCCCUGGGAUGACACUGACGCUCAUGCACGAAAGCGUGGGGAGCAAACAGG
rnacentral:rRNA from 1 species